rnacentral:rRNA from 1 species
CUACGGGAUGCUCCAGUGUGGAAUAUUGCACAAUGGGGGGAACCCUGAUGCAGCAACGCCGCGUGGAGGAUGACGCAUUUCGGUGUGUAAACUCCUUUUAUAUGUCAAGAAAAUGACGGUAGCAUAUGAAUAAGCACCGGCUAACUCCGUGCCAGCAGCCGCGGUAAUACGGGAGGGUGCAAGCGUUACUCGGAAUCACUGGGCGUAAAGGACGCGUAGGCGGGUUGGAAAGUCAGGUGUGAAAUCCUACAGCUUAACUGUAGAACUGCACUUGAAACUUCUAAUCUAGAGUAUGGGAGGGGGAGAUGGAAUUAGUGGUGUAGGGGUAAUAUCCGUAGAUAUCACUAGGAAUACCUAAAGCGAAGGCGAUCUCCUGGAACAUUACUGACGCUAAGGCGUGAAAGCGUGGGGAGCAAACAGGAUUAGAUACCCCUGUAGUC